UCCCUGGUGGCUCAGAGGUUAAAGCAUCUGCCUGCAAUGCAGGAGACUCAGGUUUGAUCCCUGAGUUGGGAA
rnacentral:tRNA from 1 species